UUAUGGCCAUAUCAUGUUGAAACACUAGUUCCCGUACAAUCACUGUAGUUAAGCAAUGUCGAGCCUGGUCUGUACCUAGAUGGAUAACCACUUUAGAAUACCAGGUGCUGUAAG